rnacentral:misc_RNA from 1 species
CACCGGAAAGCAUCAAUUAUACAAAUGAUUACAAGAAAUUUCUUUGUCAGGCACUAUCCCAGGGUAAGCCACUAGCCGUUUGUCUCCAGUGCAAAGAGUUACCUAGGUGGUUAAGUUAUCGAGGGGAGGGAUCGUCGUUAUCAUUUCAUGUACCCACAGUUUCAGAAGGCGACAUCAAGGGUCUCAUUUUGUGGAUUAAAUGUGCAAGACAUGACACAACUGCUAAUGUAGUUAUUACAGCUACAUGCAAGAGCAAUGGUUCCACAACAUGGGAGAUGGCAUCUGACUUCAACCCUGUUGCAUGUCGUGAUUAUCAUUCUUUUGUGACAUAUUUACCAUUUCAAUGUGCAUUUGAAAGCGGAGAAAAAUUGGAAAUUGCACUUCAGGCUGGCGCUAACAAUUUGACAAACGACUUUGGUGUCUCUGUGAUAUGUUCAGAAGGCGAAUCCUGGUUUGAGAAAAAGAUUAAAAUGACAAGUUCUUCCCAAGAAUUUUGUUGUCGUGACAAAAGAAAUUGCAUGCGCAAUAUGCCAUCACAAGAUUACUUAUGGUGUAGACGGUGGGAUUAAACUAAUAAAAUUGAGAGAGAUUUCUUU